rnacentral:rRNA from 1 species
UACGUAGGGUGCGAGCGUUGUCCGGAAUUAUUGGGCGUAAAGAGCUUGUAGGCGGUCUGUCGCGUCUGCUGUGAAAAUCCGGGGCUCAACCCCGGACUUGCAGUGGGUACGGGCAGACUAGAGUGUGGUAGGGGAGACUGGAAUUCCUGGUGUAGCGGUGAAAUGCGCAGAUAUCAGGAGGAACGCCGAUGGCGAAGGCAGGUCUCUGGGCCACUACUGACGCUGAGAAGCGAAAGCAUGGGGAGCGAACAGG